UACGGAAGGGGCAAGCGUUGUUCGGAAUCAUUGGGCGUAAAGGGCGCGUAGGUGGCUCUGUGUGUCUACCGUGAAAGCGUACGGCUCAACCGUAUUUUGUCGGUAGAAACUGCAGGACUUGAGGCUGGGAGGGGCUGGUGGAAUUCCCUGUGUAGCGGUGAAAUGCGUAGAGAUGGGGGAGAACACUCGUGGCGAAGGCGGCCAGCUAGACCAGUUCUGACACUGAGGCGCGACAGCGUGGGGGAGCAAACAGG
rnacentral:rRNA from 1 species